GAUGAACGCUAGCGGCAGGCUUAACACAUGCAAGUCGAGGGGCAGCAUAAACAUUGCUUGCAAUGUUUGAUGGCGACCGGCGCACGGGUGCGUAACGCGUAUGCAACCUACCCAUAACAGGGGGAUAACACUGAGAAAUUGGUACUAAUACCCCGUAAUAUCAGGAAAGGCAUCUUUUUUGGUUGAAAGUUCCGGCGGUUAUGGAUGGGCAUGCGUUGUAUUAGCUAGUUGGUGAGGUAACGGCUCACCAAGGCGACGAUACAUAGGGGGACUGAGAGGUUAACCCCCCACAUUGGUACUGAGACACGGACCAAACUCCUACGGGAGGCAGCAGUGAGGAAUAUUGGUCAAUGGGCGCAAGCCUGAACCAGCCAAGUAGCGUGAAGGAUGACUGCCCUAUGGGUUGUAAACUUCUUUUAUACGGGAACAAAUGUUGGUACGCGUACCGAUUUGCGUGUACCGUAUGAAUAAGCAUCGGCUAACUCGUG
rnacentral:rRNA from 1 species